ensembl:lncRNA
AUCCUUAGAUCAGUGAUUCUCUCCUUAGGCUGCAUUCUGGUAUUACGUUGAAGUCUUAAAAACCCGAGUGUGCUGGAUGCAACCCAGUCCAAUUAAAUCAAUAUCCCUACAGAUGGGACCCAGGGACCUGUAUUGUAUAAAGCCUCAGGUGAUUGUUCUGUGCAGACAAUGAUGAGAACCACUGAGGAUAAUCUGAAUACGUGAUUAGGCUUCAAGCUAACCUGGAAAACUUCUCAACAAAAGAAUGAUUAAGUCAAAAUGGAACAAGGAGAGAAUAUAUGGACAGAAAUAUUUUUACAUUAGGACAAGAAGCUGCAUGGCAGAUUUAGAAAGAAAAGUGAUUUCUCAGCAAAAUACUGGUAUGGGCAACAAGGUGAGAAUAAAAGCUUCAAAAAACUGGCAACUGCUUUUGAAAACUGCUAUGAGAUACGCAGUAACAUUCAAAAGGUAUUCUACAUGCAAUAAAAUUUUUAAAUCCCCAAUUGAAGGAGUGUGUUUUUUGUGAUAUUUGAGUGAGCUCUCAACAAAGAUGUAAGUACUCUACAGUAACUGAGCAGACAGUUAGAGGUUCACACACUUUAGGAUGAGCAGCUCAGUUAUACAAAAAAAAAAAAAAAAAAAAAAAAAAAAAAGGUCUAAGGACUGAAUAAUUUUAGAAUAUAACUAGACUUUGGGUUUAGCAAGGAGCAAAUAAAGCCAUAAAAAGUCGAUAGCUUGAGAGAUUAAAUUUGGAGGCAGCAGGUUGUAGCAAAGAGAGCUGAGAAGUAUACAUUUUUGAAAGGGACAGAUAGAAAGUAAUGUCAAUGUGUUCUCUAAAGUGCUUAUACUUGCACCAACAAAGCUUAUUAUUUCCAGGAAAAAUAUAAAAGUCGAGAAGUAACAGGUUAAGGUAAUACCAGUAAGAUGUAACAAAUAAAGCCUCAAAUAUAGUGUCUUAGUGCAAUAAAUACUCAUUUCUAACUCACAUAAAGACUGACUUCAAAAUCGUUUACUGAGUUCAGGUAUCACAUUUAAUGUCAUACCUAAAAAUCUCAAGCCUUGAAUUCUAUUUUUAGGACAACUGCCAUCCUAUUAGGGGAUGGGUAAAUAGCAAGUGUAUUAUAAAUCAAUUAGAUUUAGAAAUAGAUAAAAACAAAAGAUACAACAGGAAAUAAACUAGGCUAUUUCUGAACAUUUAAAUAUAUUUACCUUGAAGGAAAUAUGUGAAUUUUUGGGGUGGUAUUGAGGGGAAAUUAAGUUUCCUUGUCAUGAACAUAUGUAUCUGUGAAUAACUUGUGGUGAAAUCAUGACAAAAGGGGAAUAUGUUCUGAUUGAUGGAAUAUGGAGCAGCACAAGGCAAUUCUUUCUCUAGUCCCGGUGACCCCUCUACUCCCUCAUGGUUUUGCCCCUGAGAGAGAUAGAUCUGAAAUAAUUAUAGUAGUUUAGAGUGAAAUUAACUAAUAUUUAACUACAACUGCAAAUAAUACCUCAGAUAGAGCUUCCUGAAUGGAAAAAGUCAAGACAUCCCCUAACAUAUGGAGAUAACAUUUAUCAGAUGAUUUUCUCUACCCUAAUAGAGAAACCUUACAACUUACCACUACAUUAAUCAGAACUCUGUCUAAAAACAAGGGAUUUGAAUUGAAAUAACCAAGACUCUGACUUUUUAAAUGUUGUUAGAGAAACUUUAGGACAACAAUAAGAAACAAAAGGCACCAAAAGGAAAUGUUAGCCUCUGACACUUACAGCAACAACAAACAGUAAACACAGCCUAACUCCUAGCCAGAUAAACAUAAAAUCUCACACUAAAGAUCUAUUUGCUUCAGGUCCUUUUACCAAUACAUCAUGUUAAGUUUUCAACCACAAAUUACAAGCACGUUAUGAGGCAAAAGAAUACACAUAAUGAAGCGACAAAGCAAGUAUCAGAAACGGACUCAAAGUAGAUUUUGGAGCUAUCAGACAGGUAAUUUAAAAUAACUAUGAUUAAUGUGCUAAAAACUCUAACAGAAAAAGAGAACAACACACAGGGACAGAUGGGUAAUGAAAUAAAGAGAAAUGAAAAGUCUAAGAACAGAUCAAAGGGAGAUGCUAGAAAUCAAAAACACUGUAUCAGAAAUGAAGAAUGCCUUUGACAGACUUAUCAGAGGACUGAACAUGGCUAAGGAAGAAAUAAUUUAGCUUGAAGAUAUGUCUAAUAAAAUUUCUCAAACUGAUAAACAGAGAAUAAAAUGAAAGAAUUAAACAAAUGAACAGAAUAUGUGAGAACAAUGGGCCAAUUACAAAAGCUAUCACAAAUGCAAAAUUAAAACAUCAGAAGAAAAAGAGAGAGAAGAAAGAAACAGAAGAAAUAUUUGAGGUAAUAAUGGCUGAAAAUUUUCAAAUAUGAAUAUGACUCAAAGCCAU